UAGCGUUGUGCGGAACUACUGGGCGUAAAGCGCACGUAGGCUGCACUGCAAGGCAGGGAUGAAAUCCCGGGGCUCAACCGCGGAACUGCCCGUGAAACUGCAGCGCUAGAAUCUUGGAGAGGCGAGUGGAAUUCCGAGUGUAGAGGUGAAAUUCGUAGAUAUUCGGAAGAACACCAGUGGCGAAGGCGACUCGCUGGACAAGUAUUGACGCUGAGGUGCGAAAGCGUGGGGAGCAAACAGG
rnacentral:rRNA from 1 species